rnacentral:rRNA from 1 species
UACGUAGGGCGCAAGCGUUGUCCGGAAUUAUUGGGCGUAAAGAGCUCGUAGGCGGCUUGUCACGUCUGCUGUGAAAUCCCGGGGCUCAACCCCGGGCGUGCAGUGGAUACGGGCUGGCUAGAGGCAGGCAGGGGAGAACGGAAUUCCCGGUGUAGCGGUGAAAUGCGCAGAUAUCGGGAGGAACACCAAUAGCGAAGGCAGCUCGCUGGGACGUUACUGACACUGAGGCGCGAAAGCGUGGGGAGCGAACAGG